GAUGAACGCUGGCGGCGUGCCUAAUACAUGCAAGUCGAGCGAACGGACGAGAAGCUUGCUUCUCUGAUGUUAGCGGCGGACGGGUGAGAAACACGUGGAUAACCUACCUAUAAGACUGGGAUAACUUCGGGAAACCGGAGCUAAUACCGGAUAAUAUUUUGAACCGCAUGGUUCAAAAGUGAAAGACGGUCUUGCUGUCACUUAUAGAUGGAUCCGCGCUGCAUUAGCUAGUUGGUAAGGUAACGGCUUACCAAGGCAACGAUGCAUAGCCGACCUGAGAGGGUGAUCGGCCACACUGGAACUGAGACACGGUCCAGACUCCUACGGGAGGCAGCAGUAGGGAAUCUUCCGCAAUGGGCGAAAGCCUGACGGAGCAACGCCGCGUGAGUGAUGAAGGUCUUCGGAUCGUAAAACUCUGUUAUUAGGGAAGAACAUAUGUGUAAGUAACUGUGCACAUCUUGACGGUACCUAAUCAGAAAGCCACGGCUAACUACGUG
rnacentral:rRNA from 1 species